rnacentral:misc_RNA from 1 species
GAAAUGCGAUAAGUAAUGUGAAUUGCAGAAUUCAGUGAAUCAUCGAAUCUUUGAACGCACAUUGCGCCCCCUGGUAUUCCGGGGGGCAUGCCUGUCCGAGCGUCAUUACUGCCCUCAAGCGCGGCUUGUGUGUUGGGCCCUCGCCCCCCCUCCGGGGAGGGCGUGCCCGAAAGGCAGUGGCGGCGCCGUGCCCGGUCCUCGAGCGUAUGGGGCUUCGUCACCCGCUCUGGAGGCCCGGCCGGCCGACCGCCGACCCAACCCCAUCUUCUUUACCGGUUGACCUCGGAUCAGGCAGGGAUACCCGCUGAACUUAA